UACGAGGGGGGGCGAGCGUUUGUUCGGAAUUAUUGGGGCGUAAAGGGUGCGUAGGCGGUUCCGCAAGUCCUGUGUGAAAUCUUCGGGCUCAACUCGAAGUCUGCACGGGAAACUGCGGGGCUGGGUGUGGGAGAGGUGAGUGGAAUUCCCGGUGUAGCGGUGGAAUGCGUAGAUAUCGGGAGGAACACCUGUGGCGAAAGCGGCUCACUGGACCAUAACUGACGCUGAUGCACGAAAGCUGGGGGGAGCAAACAGG
rnacentral:rRNA from 1 species